UGGGGAAUAUUGGGCAAUGGGCGCAAGCCUGACCCAGCAACGCCGCGUGAAGGAAGAAGGCUUUCGGGUUGUAAACUUCUUUUCUCAGGGACGAAGCAAGUGACGGUACCUGAGGAAUAAGCCACGGCUAACUACGUGCCAGCAGCCGCGGUAAUACGUAGGUGGCAAGCGUUAUCCGGAUUUACUGGGUGUAAAGGGCGUGUAGGCGGGAAAGCAAGUCAGAUGUGAAAACCAUGGGCUCAACCUGUGGCCUGCAUUUGAAACUGUUUUUGCUUGAGUACUGGAGAGGCAGACGGAAUUCCUAGUGUAGCGGUGAAAUGCGUAGAUAUUAGGAGGAACACCAGUGGCGAAGGCGGUCUGCUGGACAGCAACUGACGCUGAGGCGCGAAAGCGUGGGGAGCAAACAGGAUUAGAUACC
rnacentral:rRNA from 1 species